GAACAAGAGGCAGUCGCCAUAGGGAGCUGUGGAGGUGUCUCCUUCAGCUUUCCACCCAUAGAGAGUCCCUCUGCACAAGCUGAGUCAACAUCAUGUGAUCAGACAGUUCACCACAGACUAUCAUUUUCAGAUGUUGAACAGAAUGGAUUACUUGCAGAAGCCCCCGCUGAAACCAGUCUUUGGUUGUCGUGCAAGAUACCAUUUCAAAGUAUGUGGUGGCACAAUCCCUGAAAGAUGAAAGCAGAUCCAAACAGCCUGCUUUAGCAGUUCUAUCCCACCUGAGGAAUGCUUCACAUUGGGGCGAUUCUCAGAAGACUGGAUCCAUCAACUUUGACUGCUUUUCACUGUUUGGGCCAGCAUGGGGAUCAGCUUGUGGUUCACAGUUAUACAGAUAUAGGCAAGGAUACAUUGUUCAAUGUAAACAAGAAAGCAAGCACUGAUGAAUAGAUUAAUUGAAAGAAAGAGGACACUGAAUGACAGAGGCCAUAUACCACACUAUUGAUUCUGACAAAUGCUUGAAAAUAUCUUGGUAAGUUUCAUUCAUUGCUACUAACAAGCAGUUAUGCUAAAAGUCACUGGAAAGCCUCAAGAGUUUUACUAGUUCACUAUCCAUGGGUCUAGUUUGAAGGCAAUUAACCCUGCAAUGGAGAAUGACCUGAACUGAACUGAGAGAGAUGUCACCUUGACUUAAUCCAAGCAGACAUCAUCAUUCCCAUUCCCAGCAUCUAAACAGGCAGAGCAGUCUGGAAAUCUGUGUGGAUGGCAGGUUAGUCAGAUCCUUGUAAAAACGCAGAACUCGUGAAUAGUCUUUUUUUGAACUUUAAUUACAUAAAAUGGGAAAUAGUGGUAAUGAAAGAUGCAGACAGCAGGCUUUCUCAGCAUGUGAUAUUCUGCUUUUAUUCAAUAACUACAAACCUGUAGGCUAGUCUGUACAUAUCACUGUCAAUCUGACAAGAAGGGUUGCCAGUAAAGGGGAGGGGAGUUUAGGGGAGCUUUUUGCCUGCAUGUAGCAGUGACUUUCAGAGUCCUAUGUGUACAGCAUCCAGACAGUAUCCUCUUACAGCUAGUGUACAUUCAUAUACUGUACUGAUUUCUUGUAAACACCUCUUGCUGUAAUGGUAGGCAAAGACUUAAGUUUUGCACCAACUCUAAUUGUAGAUAAUGUUUUGCAAUCAUAUAGUGCCUUCCAUCCGAGAAUCUCAAAGCACUUUAGAACACCCCUGUGAAUUAAGUAUUAUACCCAUAUUAUUAAUGCUUACUAUGGUGCUGUAAAGAUUAAUGGUAAUUUGCAAAUCACAGAGAAAGGCAUGCUCCAUGUCCCAAUGAGUUUACAUUUUGAUAAAACAAAACAGAAGGCUGGGUAUGGAAGGAUGAAGAUGGUGCUGAAACCAAAUUAGAAAUAGAUCUGAAUAUUUGUUAAUUAAAAUAUUUUUGAAUUAUUAAAACAAAGUUAAAAGGUAGAUAGACACUUUUUAUUGGCUGCAGUCCAUACAGUU